UGGGGAAUUUUGGACAAUGGGGGCAACCCUGAUCCAGCCAUUCCGCGUGAGUGAAGAAGGCCUUCGGGUUGUAAAGCUCUUUCGGCAGGAACGAAACGGUGAAGGAUAAUACCCUUUGCUAAUGACGGUACCUGAAGAAGAAGCACCGGCUAACUACGUGCCAGCAGCCGCGGUAAUACGUAGGGUGCGAGCGUUAAUCGGAAUUACUGGGCGUAAAGCGUGCGCAGGUGGUUCGUUAAGACAGAUGUGAAAUCCCCGGGCUCAACCUGGGAACUGCGUUUGUGACUGGCGAGCUAGAGUGCGGCAGAGGGGGGUAGAAUUCCACGUGUAGCAGUGAAAUGCGUAGAGAUGUGGAGGAAUACCGAUGGCGAAGGCAGCCCCCUGGGUCGACACUGACGCUCAUGCACGAAAGCGUGGGGAGCAAACAG
rnacentral:rRNA from 1 species